ACUCAAAUGAAUUGACGGGGACCCGCACAAGCGGUGGAGCGUGUUGUUUAAUUCGACGGUAAGCGAAGAACCUUACCAAGGCUUGACAUCCUGCCAAGCCCAGCGAAAGCCGGGUGUGCCUUCGGGCCGCAGUGACAGGUGAUGCAUGGCCGUCGUCAGCUCGUGUCGUGAGAUGUUUGGUUAAGUCCAUCAACGAGCGCAACCCUUAUAGUUAGUUGAAUUUCUCUAGCUAGACUGCCCCGGUAACGGGGAGGAAGGAGGGGAUGAUGUCAGGUCAUUAUUUCCCUUACGCCUUGGGCCACAAACACGCUACAAUGGCCGGUACAAAGGGCAGCGAAGUCGCGAGGCGGAGCAAAUCCCAUCAAAGCCGGUCUCAGUUCGGAUAGCAGGCUGAAACUCGCCUGCUUGAAGCUGGAAUCGCUAGUAACGGUAGGUCAGCACACUACCGUGAAUACGUUCCCGGGUCUUGUACACACCGCCCGU
rnacentral:rRNA from 1 species